UACAGAGGUCUCAAGCGUUGUUCGGAUUCAUUGGGCGUAAAGGGUGCGUAGGUGGCGCGGUAAGUCGGGUGUGAAAUUUCGGAGCUUAACUCCGAAACUGCAUUCGAUACUGCCGUGCUUGAGGACUGGAGAGGAGACUGGAAUUUACGGUGUAGCAGUGAAAUGCGUAGAUAUCGUGAGGAAGACCAGUGGCGAAGGCGGAUCUCUGGACAGUUCCUGACGCUGAGGCGCGAAGGCCAGGGGAGCAAACGGG
rnacentral:rRNA from 1 species